rnacentral:lncRNA from 1 species
CGCUCGCAUCGGUCCACUGAUGCAAAUUGCAAAAUCAAAUCUACUGUGACGUAACGAGGCAUUCGAUUCAAGUCAUGGCGGCAAGGAUAUUUGGAUAUGCAAACACUAUAUGCAAAUGAGACAAAUAAUGCGAAGAGAAAUCCCUCGAAAUUGACGGAUAACCAAUAAUUUACAGUCGAACCAAUUACUACCAAGUGGAAAAAUGGAA